ACUCCUACGGGAGGCAGCAGUAGGGAAUCUUCCACAAUGGGCGCAAGCCUGAUGGAGCAACACCGCGUGAGUGAAGAAGGGUUUCGGCUCGUAAAGCUCUGUUGUUAAAGAAGAACACGUAUGAGAGUAACUGUUCAUACGUUGACGGUAUUUAACCAGAAAGUCACGGCUAACUACGUGCCAGCAGCCGCGGUAAUACGUAGGUGGCAAGCGUUAUCCGGAUUUAUUGGGCGUAAAGAGAGUGCAGGCGGUUUUCUUAAGUCUGAUGUGAAAGCCUUCGGCUUAACCGGAGAAGUGCAUCGGAAACUGGAUAACUUGAGUGCAGAAGAGGGUAGUGGAACUCCAUGUGUAGCGGUGGAAUGCGUAGAUAUAUGGAAGAACACCAGUGGCGAAGGCGGCUACCUGGUCUGCAACUGACGCUGAGACUCGAAAGCAU
rnacentral:rRNA from 1 species